rnacentral:rRNA from 1 species
UACAUGGGGUGCAAACGUUGCUCGGAAUUAUUGGGCGUAAAGCGCACGUAGGCGGUUCGUUAAGUCGGAUGUGAAAGCCCUCGGCUCAACUGAGGAAGUGCACCCGAAACUGGCGAGCUUGAGUACGAAAGAGGAUCGCGGAAUUCCCGGUGUAGAGGUGAAAUUCGUAGAUAUCGGGAGGAACACCGGGUGCGAAGGCGGCGAUCUGGGUCGAUACUGACGCUGAGGUGCGAAAGCGUGGGGAGCAAACAGG